AGUGAACGCUGGCGGUAGGCCUAACACAUGCAAGUCGAACGGCAGCACAGUAAGAGCUUGCUCUUACGGGUGGCGAGUGGCGGACGGGUGAGGAAUACAUCGGAAUCUACUUUUUCGUGGGGGAUAACGUAGGGAAACUUACGCUAAUACCGCAUACGACCUACGGGUGAAAGCAGGGGAUCUUCGGACCUUGCGCGAUUGAAUGAGCCGAUGUCGGAUUAGCUAGUUGGCGGGGUAAAGGCCCACCAAGGCGACGAUCCGUAGCUGGUCUGAGAGGAUGAUCAGCCACACUGGAACUGAGACACGGUCCAGACUCCUACGGGAGGCAGCAGUGGGGAAUAUUGGGCGAUGGGCGCAAGCCUGAUCCAGCCAUACCGCGUGAGUGAAGAAGGCCUUCGGGUUGUAAAGCCCUUUUGUUGGGAAAGAAAAGCAGCAGGUUAAUACCCCGCUGUUCUGACGGUACCCAAAGAAUAAGCACCGGCUAACUUCGUG
rnacentral:rRNA from 1 species